rnacentral:tmRNA from 2 species
GGGGCCUUAAUGGUUUCGACGUGUUGGAGAAAUCCGAAGCGUGAUACAGGUCGAGAGUGAGUCUCCUCUCGUAAAUCAAAGGCUCAAAACAAAAGUAAAUGCGAACAACAUCGUUCCUUUCGCUCGCAAAGCAGCUGCUGUUGCUUAGAAAAAACCACUAAUCUGGUUCGAGCACUCAUAGUCUGACUCCGUUAAGGGCUGUGGGUAAACCCCAACGGAUGCGCGCUUACUCCGCCUCUGGUCGGUGUAUUCGUUAAGACUUCACCAGAGCAUCCCACCAUCCGGGAUAAGAGAUGGUUCCUGCCCCGAGGAUUAGAGGGGAUAAACCUGUGAACGAGCGCCAGGUCAAUAUCCAGGGCGGACACGGGUUCGAUUCCCGUAGGCUCCAUUA